rnacentral:lncRNA from 1 species
UUGAAGGUUAUGAAAUAAUUACCUUGUGGAAAAUAUAGGAUGAGGAUAGAUGAAAUAACUUUGAAUUUGUUACCUAUUUUGGGCACUUUUGAUUUGGUUGAAGAAUGAUUGCCCGCUGCUCGUGCGUAGGAAUCUCGUUGUACCUCAAGGGUAUUUUUGUCCCCUUUUGUCCAAAAAUCCACGUGUCGCCUUGUGAUUAUUUUUGGCUCCACACCACUCACCAAUUAUAAAUUAGUAUUAUAGCAAAUCAUAAAGUACUUCUAACAUAUUUUCAUCUGGCCAAAGUUGUUGAAGCUAUAUGUAUUUUGUGUAUUUUAUGUAUUUUAUGUUUUGGCUAGCUAUGCAGUUAUUUUCUUUGCAUGAUUAGUUUCUGCCCAAAGGUGUAACAAUCAUGCAAUUUGUGUUUGGUUUGAUCCUCCACAACUCAACUAUUGCCAUGAUGAAUCUUGCAGAAUCGAGAAUGAGUAGGUAAAUUUGCCAAUAUUUUGCCUUAAUUUUCUCUGAGUUCUAAAUUGGAUUAAAAUUAUUGUUGAAAAAUUGAUGUUAUUGAGAUAUCUAAGUGUUUGUUUUAAUCAACUUUGUUUUAGAAUUAAAACAUAAAUUUUGAGUUUGGAUCCUCUUAUUAGGUUUCAUUUUAAUUUAUGACAUAAUCUUUAACACAUAUGUGAGUCUUCUCUCAUACACUAAAAAAAUUAAAAAAUUGUAGUCAUUGCUAAGUUUUUGUUUAUGGACCUUUUUUUUUUCAAUUCUAACCUGCUUAAAAAAAAUUAAUGUAUUUGAACUUUAUUGAUUCAAAUAGCCUAUAUUUUGUUAUAUGAAAACCACUUUCUCUAGUGUUUAAACUUGCAAAUUUGAGUGUUUGCCCAAUUGGGAGAAAUAAUGUAUUAUGGGCUUCACACUCAUCAAUUUUGCAUGCUUUUAAUGGUCAUGGUUUUGGUAGAUAAAAUGUACAUUAUCAUACUUGUUUAUAUUUUAUCUGUUACAUAUGCAACUAAUCUUGCAGAGAAUGGUUAAUGAGUAUAUUCUGCUCAAAAGUGUUUUGCUUAUUAUUUCUUGUUUGUUGGUCAAGAAAUUGGACUUGUGAUUUAUAUGUUAUUGAUGGAUAAUUAAUCUACUCAAAAGUGUUUUCUUAUUUAGUCCAACUAUAAAUCAGUGAACGGUUAAACAUGGAAUUGACAAGAUUGUAUAUACUUCAUCUGCUCAAAAGUGUUGAAACUAUAUAUGUUUGCCCUUGUAUUUUAUGUUUUAGCUGUGAAAACCUAAUAUAAUCAUUUUGUCCAAAGAUGAUUAUGGAAUUAUAUGUUUUUGUUGCAAUCAGAAAACGUUAUGUUAAAGCUUUCUGUUUCUGUCAAAUUUUAGAUGAAUAAAACUGACCAUAUGAUUUUGUAUAUCUUUUUAGCCACUCACUUCCUUGAAAUAUCUGACAUAGAGAUAUAGUAAAAAAAAUUAGUAGUUGAUGUUGAAUUUUCCAUACUUUUAAAUCCUUGAUUAUUGUUUGAUCAGUAGGAGCUUUUAAGAAAUGUGUGCGUUUAUGAGAUUUUUUACUCUUUUAAUCGGUGGGAGUUUAAGAUUGCUUUUGUAUUAUUGAUUGAAGUGUUAGUGGAAAAAUGGUUUAAUAGUAAAAUUUUAUUCAUAAAUCUUGAUAAGAGAGUAAUUUUGUAACAGUAUAUUGUAUUUGCAUCUUCUCUUAUUUUUAUGUUUUAAUUGACAGAAAAUAUGAGCCAUGCUUGCAUAAGGCUCAGUUCAGGAGUUGAUCUUUUGCUUAUCAACCUAAAUUACGAAUGAUGUCAAGCAACAUUAUGCUCGUAAUUUGAUAUUCGUGAUAAUAGAGUAAACAUGUAGAAGCAAUUAUAUGUUAUUUUCUAUAAUCCAAUAUUUAAACUACUAGUGACAAGUUGUUAAAGGUAUAGUUGCAAAUUUUGUGGGACUCAGUGAUCACCUACCACUUAGCCAAAUAAGGAUCAUGUUCUUGGACACUCAAGUGAGAGAAUGUAAGUUGUGAGUGUCAAAGAACAUGUGCUCACUGUUUCUUGACAUACAUGUAACUUGGUCAAUCCGAGUUAAUAGUUAAGAAAAUUAUGGAGCCUUAUUUGGUUAGGUUUAGGAGUCCUUAUUUAGUGCAAUUAAUCAUGAAAACUUUAAUUAGUUGACAAAGAAUUUGUUACCAUCUAGGACUCUAAUGAAAUCCUAAUUGAUUUGGAAUAUCCCUUUAAUUAGUUAAUAGGCCGGCCGGAUUAAAGGGAUGCGCGUAUAUAUGUAUAUAUAUAUAUAGUUGACAAAGAAUUCGUUACCAUCUAGGACUCUAAUGAAAUCCUAAUUGAUUUGGAAUAUCCC